AGUCACUGACAUUAGAUACCCGUGUAGUCCAGGGUGUAAACGCUGCAGACUUGGUGUUGGGAACCCUUCGGGGUGCUCAGUGCCGGAGAGAAGUUGUUAAGUCUGCUACUUGGGAGUACGUCCGCAAGGAUGAAACUUAAAGGAAUUGGCGGGGGAGCACCGCAACGGGAGGAGCGUGCGGUUUAAUUGGAUUCAACGCCGAAAAACUCACCAGCAGCGACUGUUACAUGAAAGUCAGGUUGAUGACCUUACUAGAUUUUCAG
rnacentral:rRNA from 1 species